UCUACCUCUCUCCUCAAACACUCUCUCUCUCCUAAACUCCCUGCUUCUUCCUCUCUCCUCAAACCCGAUCCAGUUUCUGCCUUUCUCUCCUCAACCUCGCCGCUCAAAUUUUCCUCCGGCAAGGUUCUUGCAAAAAAAUUCGGUUUGUAAAUGAGGUUUCGACAACGGAAGAGGGAGAAUCGGGGUCGUAGAAGAGGUGGAGGAGGGUGUCGGAGGUGGAAGCGUCAUUGAAACCGCCGGCGUCGCACCCUUUCUACUGUCGCAAUCGAAGCAUCUAUUUCGAAAUCCUUGGAAAGGGAAGCUUGACGGCGGAGGUUUCUGGAGAAACUAAAUUGACGGCGGCGAGGUGGAGGAAGGAGGCGGGACUGUUAGUCGGAGUUCUCCUUGUUUGGAUCAUUGGCUAAUGUGGGAGCAAUGGUUGGUGCAAUUGCUAGUGGUCAGAUUUCUGAAUACAUUGGGCGCAAAGGGUCACUGAUGAUUGCUUCAAUCCCAAAUAUCAUUGGAUGGUUGGUCGUAUCAUUUUCGAGAGAUAUCUCAUUUCUGUACAUGGGGCGACUGCUGGAAGGUUUUGGUGUUGGUAUUAUUUCCUACACGGCACAGUGGUAGAUACUAAAAUAUGUCACCCAACCGAUUUUGAUUUCUUUCUAUGCAGUCAUGCUGGUAUUCAGGGAACCAGCAGACCAGCUCAUUACCAUGUUCUCUGGGACGAUAACAAAUUCUCAGCUGAUGAGAUACAAUCUCUAACGAACAAUCUCUGUUAUACGUAAGCAGACCCCCCAACUAAUAUUAGAAGCAAGGGAAACACUAGAAGAUUCUGGGCAGCAACUAUUUUUUUUUUUUUUUUUUUUUUGUUGGGUGUCAAGAGAAACCGUUAGAUGGAAUACAUUGUUGUAGAUAUUUCAAGCUUUUGUAUUGUAAGAUUUAUG